CACACGAGGAGGAACACGAUGUGUUCAGGUACUUCACGGAUGGGACUUCUCCUCAAAACUGUGUCGAGGGAGGGCAGAGGAUUCAGAAAACAUGUCAUCAUGAGCUCCGUUCCAAACCCACAUAUCCACCGUUCGGAGAAAAAGAGAAAAAUGCUGAUUAACGAGGGAAUAAAGAGGCAAAAGCAUCCAGCAGAGAAAGUCAACGUGGAACUGUAAACAAUCAAGAGAACAGCAAAUGUCAACAGUGGUGCUCUGAGAGUUGUGAUUUUGCUUUUUAACUAGACUUUUUCACCAUCACACUAAAGAGAAGUGGCUUCUGAACUCACUUCAGUCCAUGCAGCAGAAACAGAGAUGUUAAAUGAAAUACCAUAAAAACACUAUUUUUUUAAAAAUCGACAGAAACGUGUAAAUCAGAUUACGUUCUUUGCUACUUUGUUUUCUAACAUAGAGUACUGUGCAAAAAGCUCAAGCCACCAUUUAUUCCUUCAUGUCAGACUUCCCUGUCAGCAGCAUCUUUUAAAGUGUUUCUUUGGACAUUGGCUGCAUUUUGGCCCAUUUUUAGUCCAGUCCUUAUACCUGACCAUUUUCAGAACAAUGUUUGUUUGGUAACCUACUUAACACUGACCUUUGAAUCAUUCUAGAAUAAAAAAGGCACCUAAGUCAAGGGAUGAACCCGUGCUGUGUCUACACAUAACAGAGAUCUCAGCAAAAACAAUUUUUAAAUUGUAUCUUCACAAAAACACAUUUCUCAUUUCUUUAGUUGAAUCUAUAAAAUUGUCAAAGAUAACACAGUUUGAUGGAUAUAAGAUGGCAUCAUCGACAAGGUGACUCUCAAAGAACUAGUGUGAAACAUAUCUCAGCAUGGUGUGCAAUGUGUCCUUAAAAAUUUUGAGGAAACUGAAAAA